rnacentral:rRNA from 1 species
UACCGAGGGUGCGAGCGUUGUUCGGAAUUAUUGGGCGUAAAGCGCUUGUAGGCGGCUUGUUAAGUCGCGUGUGAAAUCCCCAGGCUCAACCUGGGAAGUGCGCGCGAAACUGGCGAGCUUGAAUGCCGGAGAGGGUCGCGGAAUUCCCGGUGUAGAGGUGAAAUUCGUAGAUAUCGGGAGGAACACCAGUGGCGAAGGCGGCGACCUGGACGGACAUUGACGCUGAGACGCGAAAGCGUGGGGAGCAAACAGG